rnacentral:lncRNA from 1 species
GCAUCCUGGGUGCGGGGCGGGGCGGGGGCGGCCUCUUUAAGCGGUGCGCGGGGCCGCAGGGGCAGUGCAGCGGCCCCGGCUGGAGGCUGUCCCUGCGCUCAGCGCCCCACCGCCUCUCGCGCCAGCCGGCAUGGCUGCCCUGCUGACGUCCGGCCCGCCGCCCGACGAGCAGGACUUCGUCCAGGCUUACGAGGAGGUGCGGGAGAAGUACAAAGGUACGGCGCCAGGGGCCUCCGCCCACCCUCUGAGUGCGCCACUGCUCGCUCAGCGGUGCCUGGGGCGGCCAGCCCAGCAGCCGGUCACUGACCACCUUGUCUGCCACCGCCAUCCGGACUGUGGCCCAGUGCGAACCCUGCCACCAUCUGGUCUCACCAGUGUGGCU